CCUACGGGAGGCAGCAGUGGGGAAUCUUGCGCAAUGGGCGAAAGCCUGACGCAGCAACGCCGCGUGCGGGAAGAAGGCUUUCGGGCUGUAAACCGCUUUCAGCAGGAACGAAAAUGACGGUACCUGCAGAAGAAGGAGCGGCCAACUAUGUGCCAGCAGCCGCGGUGAUACAUAGGCUUCAAGCGUUGUCCGGAUUUAUUGGGCGUAAAGAGUUCGUAGGCGGUCAAGUAAGUCGGGUGUGAAAAUUCUGGGCUCAACCCAGAGACGCCACCCGAUACUGCUUAACUUGAGUUCGAUAGGGGAGUGGGGAAUUCCUAGUGUAGCGGUGAAAUGCGCAGAUAUUAGGAGGAACACCGGUGGCGAAGGCGCCACUCUGGAUCGAUACUGACGCUGAGGAACGAAAGCAUGGGUAGCAAACAGGAUUAGAUACCCUGGUAGUCCAUGCCGUAAACGGUGGGCACUAGGUGUGGGUUUCUAUUAACGAAAUCCGCGCCGUCGCUAACGCAUUAAGUGCCCCGCCUGGGGAGUACGUCGCAGACAACUACAANAGAUAGACGCGUGAGACGUGCCGACGACGACGACGAGGGAGUAGG
rnacentral:rRNA from 1 species